GACGAACGCUGGCGGCGCGCUUAACACAUGCAAGUCGAGCGAAGCGGCGGACGGGUGAGUAACACGUGAGUAACCUGCCUAAGACAUUGGGAUAGCCUCGGGAAACCGGGAUAAAUACCAAAUGGUCUAAGAUGGAAUUGCGUCCCAUUAGGGAGUUGGUGAUGUAACGGCCCACCAAGGCGACGAUGGGUAGCCGGCCUGAGAGCGUGAACGGCCACAUUGGAACUGGGAAACGGUCCAGACUCUACGUGAGGCAGCAGUGGUGAAUGUUGCACAAGGGAGGGAACUCUGAUGCGGCGACGCCGCGUAAACGAAGAAGUCUUUCGAGUCGUAAAGUUCUUUUAUAUAGGAAGCGGUACCAUAAGAAAAAGCCCCGGCUAACUACGUGCCAGCAGCCGCGGUAAUUC
rnacentral:rRNA from 1 species